rnacentral:rRNA from 1 species
GCUUACGGCCAUACCACCUUAGGCACGCCCGAUCUCGUCUGAUCUCGGAAGGUAAGCAGGGUCGGGCCUGGUUAGUACUUGGAUGGGUGACCGCCUGGGAAUACCAGGUGCUGUAAGCA